GCCAAACAGCUAGCUUAACUAUUAAAAUAACCAAACAAUAUAAAUAAAUAAAACAAACCUAACACAACAAACUAAAACAUUCUUUUACCUGAGUAUGGGAGACAGAAAAGGUUCAACCAUAAAGCAAUAGAAACAGUACCGCAAGGGAAAGCUGAAAGAGAAAUGAAAUAACCCAUAUAAGCACCAAAAAGCAAAGAUUAAACCCUGUACCUUUCGCAUCAUGAUUUAGCCAGCCCACCCAAGCAAAGAGACCUUUAGUUUGAAACCCCGAAACCAGGUGAGCUACCCCGAGACAGCCUAUUAAGGGCCAACCCGUCUCUGUGGCAAAAGAGUGGGAAGAGCUCCGGGUAGAAGUGAUAGACCUACCGAACCUGGUGAUAGCUGGUUGCCUAAGAAAUGAAUAGAAGUUCAGCCUCAUAAACCUCAAAUCAAACAAACCAAGAUAUUCAAGAGAAAUACACGAGAGUUAGUUAAAAGGGGUACAGCCCCUUUAACAAAGGACACAACCUUAUCAGAAGGAUAAAGAUCAUAAUUUAUAAAACACUCUGUUCCAGUGGGCCUAAAAGCAGCCACCUAAACAGAAAGCGUUAAAGCUCAGACAGACAAAAGUUUAUUAUUCCGAUAAAAAAUCUUACUCCCCUAAAUAUUAUUAGGCCAACCCAUGCCAACAUGGAAAAGAUUAUGCUAAAAUGAGUAACAAGAAGACCCGCCCUUCUCCCGGCACAAGUGUAAGCCAGACUGGACAAACCACUGGCAACCAACGAACUCAACCCAAGAGAGCAUUGCGAACCAUACAUAAACUCAAGAAAACCCCGCAACUAAAAAAUCGUUACCCCCACACUGGAGUGCCACUUAGAGGAAAGACUAAAAGAAAAGAAAGGAACUCGGCAAACACAAGCCUCGCCUGUUUACCAAAAACAUCGCCUCCUGCAAUACAACCAAGUAUAGGAGGUCCAGCCUGCCCAGUGACUAUAAUGUUCAACGGCCGCGGUAUUUUGACCGUGCAAAGGUAGCGCAAUCACUUGUCUUUUAAAUAGAGACCUGUAUGAAUGGCCAAACGAGGGCUUAACUGUCUCCCUUUUCAAGUCAGUGAAAUUGAUCUGCCCGUGCAGAAGCGGACAUAAAAAUACAAGACGAGAAGACCCUUUGGAGCUUAAGGUACAAAACUCAACCACGUCAAGCAACUCAAUGAAAAGCAAAAACUUCGUGAAACAUGAGAUUUUACCUUCGGUUGGGGCGACCACGGAGGAAAAAAAAGCCUCCAAGUGGACUGGGACAAACUCCUAAAACCAAGAAAGACAUUUCUAAGCCACAGAAUAUCUGACCAAAUAUGAUCCGGCCAACAGAGCCGAUCAACGAACCAAGUUACCCUAGGGAUAACAGCGCAAUCCCCUCCCAGAGUCCAUAUCGACGAGGGGGUUUACGACCUCGAUGUUGGAUCAGGACAUCCUAAUGGUGCAGCCGCUAUUAAGGGUUCGUUUGUUCAACGAUUAAAGUCCUACGUGAUCUGAGUUCAGACCGGAGCAAUCCAGGUCAGUUUCUAUCUGUAACGCUACUUUUCCUAGUACGAAAGGAUCGGAAAAAGGGGGCCCAUACUCGAAGCACGCCCCACCCCCAAUUUAUGAAAACAAAUAAAUAAAGCAAGGGGUAGAGCCAAAACCCCAUUCAGUCAGCCGAAAUAAGGACAU
rnacentral:rRNA from 1 species